rnacentral:rRNA from 1 species
CUGGCGGCGUGCUUAACACAUGCAAGUCGAACGCGAAAGGGACUUCGGUCCUGAGUAAAGUGGCGCACGGGUGAGUAACGCGUAGAUAACCUGUCUUCAUGUCUGGAAUAAUACGCCAAAGGGGGUACUAAUACCGGAUAUUCUUGCUUUUCAUAAGUUAUGCAAGCAAAGGUGGCCUCUGCAUAUGCUACUGCAUGAAGAGGGGUCUGCGUACCAUUAGCUAGUAGGUGGGGUAAUGGCCUACCUAGGCGACGAUGGUUAGCGGGUCUGAGAGGAUGAUCCGCCACACUGGCACUGGAACACGGGCCAGACUCCUACGGGAGGCAGCAGUGAGGAAUAUUGCGCAAUGGGGGAAACCCUGACGCAGCGACGCCGCGUGAGUGAGGAAGGCCUUCGGGUCGUAAAGCUCUGUCAAGAGGAAAGAAGUGUACAAUGGCUAAUACCUGUUGUAUUUGACGGUACCUCUAAAGGAAGCACCGGCUAACUCCGUGCCAGCCGCGGC